rnacentral:rRNA from 1 species
ACGAACGCUGGCGGCGUGCUUAACACAUGCAAGUCGAGCGGUAAGGCUCCUUCGGGAGUACACGAGCGGCGAACGGGUGAGUAACACGUGAGUAAUCUGCCCUUCACUUCGGGAUAACCGCCGGAAACGGUGGCUAAUACCGAAUACGACGCGCUUUCGCAUGAGAUGCGCGUGGAAAGUUUUCUCGGUGGAGGAUGUGCUCGCGGCCUAUCAGCUUGUUGGUGAGGUAACGGCUCACCAAGGCUUCGACGGGUAGCCGGCCUGAGAGGGUGACCGGCCACACUGGGACUGAGACACGGCCCAGACUCCUACGGGAGGCAGCAGUGGGGAAUAUUGGACAAUGGGCGAAAGCCUGAUCCAGCAACGCCGCGUGAGGGAUGACGGCCUUCGGGUUGUAAACCUCUUUCAGUACCGACGAAGCGCCAAUAACGGUGGUGACGGUAGGUACAGAAGAAGGACCGGCCAACUACGU